CAAGGGGCUUGACCACAUAAGCGCAGUAUUACAAAGAGACUGAGCAAGGUCACCUUUUUCAUCUGUAAAGGGUAAGUCUGUGGUUACCCCUGUUGGGGCUGCUGUGCAUUCGUGGCCUUUUGGCAUUUGUGGACCUGAGUGUGUGUUUGUUUUUCUGGCUCUGGUCUCUGUGUUUGAGUCUCCUGCAAGUGGCUGUACUGCUUGUGUGUCCAUCACGGACAUGACCUUCUCUUUUUGUUUCUUAUAGCCCAGGUCGUGAGCACGAAACCUUGAACGAGGCAUUAGUGUGAGUGGGUUGCAGUGUGGGCCCUGAGCUGGUCAGUGGAUUUUGUUAGUUUGUUUUGCCUGUCAGGCAGGCUUUGCAAGCACCUUGUGACAGCGGAGUAGAACUCCUGCCGCGUUCCUGAGGCGCGCCAGAUGUCAGCGGUUCCAGUUCCCGAAAUGCUGGAGAUGCUUGGAGCGCAAGGGGAGUUGGGAGCGUGAUGUAUCUGUUUGGGAUGUUAGCCACGUGACCUUAGCUCGGCACAGUUGUGAAUGGAAGCGCUAAGCCUGGAUCGGGAAGGUGAAGAGGAGCCUCGUGCCUGAAGCAACAUCCUGGCUAGCCUUUGUGUUCCUUGUUGAGGAUGGAACCUGCCUCCCAGCAUUCCCAAGCUAAGCUGGGGGGCAAGUGCUAUGUUUGAGUCGGGGUUGUGAAUGGACACGUAGG